CUUUGAGCUCGAAUGGCUGCGCGGCUAAUAAUGCAGUCGACCAAAGCUUCAGCCUUUUGGUCUCAUGGGUGCGUAACGCGUGGGAAUCUUCCCUCAGGUUCGGAAUGACAGCAAGAAAUUGCUGCUAAUACCGAAAUGAUAUCGCGAGAUCAAAGAUUUAUCGCCUGAGGAUGAGCCCGCUUAGGAUUAGCUAGUUGGUGUGGUAAAGGCGCACCCCCGCGACGAUCCUUAGCUGGUCUGAGAGGAUGAUCAGCCACACUGGGACUGAGACACGGCCCUGACUCCUACGGGAGGCAGCCUGGGGGAAUAUUGGACAAUGGGCGAAAGCCUGAUCCAGCAAUGCCGGAAGAGUGAUGAAGGCCUUAGGGUUGUAAAGCUCUUUUACCCGGGAUGAUAAUGACAGUACCGGGAGAAUAAGCUCCGGCUAACUCCGUGCCAGCAGCCGCGGAAAUACGGAGGGAGCUAGCGUUAUUCGGAAUUACUGGCCGUAAAGCGCACGUGCGCGGCUUUGUAAGUUAGAGGUGAAAGCCUGGAGCUCAACUCCUUAAUUGCCUUUAAGACUGCAUCGCUUGAAUCCAGGAGAGGUGAGUGGAAUUCCGAGUGCAGAGGUGAAAUUCGUUUAUAUUCUGAAAAACUU
rnacentral:rRNA from 2 species